rfam:Enterococcus sp. HSIEG1 chromosome, whole genome shotgun sequence.
AUGUUUCUUCGGGGCAGGGUGUAAUUCCCGACCGACGGUGACAAGCAAUGCUUGAAGUCCGUGACCCGCAUUCGUGCGGUUGAUCCAGUGAAACUCUGGAACCGACAGUUAAAGUCUGGAUGGGAGAAGAAAAAC